rnacentral:rRNA from 1 species
GAUGAACGCUAGCUAUAGGCUUACACAUGCAAGUCGAGGGGAAACGGCAUUAUGUGCUUGCACAUUUUGGACGUCGACCGGCGCACGGGUGAGUAUCGCGUAUCCAACCUUCCCUCCACUCGGGGAUACCCCGUUGAAAGACGGCCUAAUACCCGAUGUUGUCCACAUAUGGCAUCUGACGUGGACCAAAGAUUCAUCGGUGGAGGAUGGGGGUGCGUCUGAUUAGCUUGUUGGUGCGGGUAACGGCCCACCAAGGCGACGAUCAGUAGGGGUUCUGAGAGGAAGGUCCCCCACAUUGGAACUGAGACACGGUCCAAACUCCUACGGGAGGCAGCAGUGAGGAAUAUUGGUCAAUGGACGGAAGUCUGAACCAGCCAAGUAGCGUGCAGGAUUGACGGCCCUAUGGGUUGUAAACUGCUUUCGUUGGGGAGUAAAGUGAGGCACGCGUGCCUUUUUGCAUUUACCCUUCGAAUAAGGACCGGCUAAUUCCGUGCCAGCAGCCGCGGUAAUACGGAAGGUCCAGGCGUUAUCCGGAUUUAUUGGGUUUAAAGGGAGUGUAGGCGGUCUGUUAAGCGUGUAGUGACAUCUAGGUGCUCAACAUUUAACUUGCAGCGCGAACUGGCGGACUUGAGUGCACGCAACGUAUGCGGAAUUCAUGGUG